CCUUUCAUUCCUGGUCAUGUGCAGAGGUCCAGAAAGGGCUCUGGCCUUCUCUGUGUCAUGCCUUUGGUACCGGUGGCUUCCAGUCCGUGAGUACUAACCUCAAGCACCCGGACAUCA
ensembl:snoRNA Small nucleolar RNA SNORA57